CAGUCACCGAGUGACUUCCGGCUUAUUCACUACUGACUGGAGGUCUGCAGGAACGGUGUUGGUGCCUCCUGUUGGAUCUGGUCACUUGUAGCAAGCCCACCCAGCAAGCCCUGUGCAGUUCCUUGGAUUCCAUCCUGUGGUGUGAAGGAACCUCCAGUAAGGGUCAUCAUGCUUGACUACGGAAGUUGUCCAUGUCUCGACAUUGAAGACAUUCUGGAGCCCCAUACAUCAUGGGACACCCUGAUUUUAUUGAUUCCGGUGGAUGACAUGGAAGAGGGUGUGCAUGGAAUUCUAGAAAUAUAUGAAGAAACGGAAGGUGAAAAUGGAGAGGAGGAGUUGGUGCUCGUGGAAACUGUGGAGGAAAGGGAGGAAGAAAGGGAGGAAGAAAGGGAGGAAGAAAGGGAGGAAGAAAGGGAGGAGGAAAGGGAGGAGGAAGAAGAUAUCAAUGUCACUGAGAAUGAGGAAUAAAACUGAGAAAUAAAAGAGAGAGAGGGAAAGGAGAAGAAAAAGAAGAAAGGGAAGAGUAUCAAAGGGAGGAAGACAUGCCUUCCAUUUAUAUUACUUCCUCUUUCUCCUCGUCCUCCUUUCUUGUCCUUGUCCUCCUCCUCCCUCUCUCAACUGAAACAGAACAUGCUGACUGUGUGUUUCAUUCACUGAUUUCUUGGGGUAGAUA